rnacentral:rRNA from 1 species
GUCGAGCGAGUGGAGUUCUUCGGAACAAAGCUAGCGGCGGACGGGUGAGUAACACGUGGGCAACCUGCCUCAUAGAGGGGAAUAGCCUUCCGAAAGGGAGAUUAAUACCGCAUAAGAUUGUAGCUUCGCAUGAAGUAGCAAUUAAAGGAGCAAUCCGCUAUGAGAUGGGCCCGCGGCGCAUUAGCUAGUUGGUGAGGUAACGGCUCACCAAGGCGACGAUGCGUAGCCGACCUGAGAGGGUGAUCGGCCACAUUGGGACUGAGACACGGCCCAGACUCCUACGGGAGGCAGCAGUGGGGAAUAUUGCACAAUGGGGGAAACCCUGAUGCAGCAACGCCGCGUGAGUGAUGACGGCCUUCGGGUUGUAAAGCUCUGUCUUCAGGGACGAUAAUGACGGUACCUGAGGAGGAAGCCACGGCUAACUACGUGCCAGCAGCCGCGGUAAUACGUAGGUGGCGAGCGUUGUCCGGAUUUACUGGGCGUAAAGGGAG